AUCCUUCUCUGGUUCAUAAGCAGGAUGAUUGGCUUUUCACACACCCAUGUGAUAUGUGCUUCUCUUUAACCUUGUUACAACAUCAGCACAUGACCCUUCUGACA